rnacentral:rRNA from 1 species
AUGGUUUGGAAGAAGGAGGUCAGGAUCUACUCCCAAACCACCACUCUUGCAGGAAUUGAUGUGAAUGUCCAUGAGACAAAUGGUAACAUAUGGAGGCCAAUAGGAAUUUAUGGAGAACCUAGUUGGGAGCAUAAGGACUGUACCUAUCAGUAUAUUCGAGAUCUACAUGCACACUCAAGGCUACCAUGGGUUAUCAUUGGUGACUUCAAUGAAAUUUUACUGUCUUCUGAAAAGGAGGGAGGGGUGCCACGACACCAGUCUCGAUUGGUAGCGUUCCAGGACGCUCUUUCCGACUGCUCCUUGGAAGACAUGGGGUAUGUUGGCGACAAGUUCACUUGGUUUAGAGGUGGACUAAAGGAACGCUUGGACAGGGCCGUUACAAACACUGAAUGGAUGGGUAUGCACCCAUAUGCAGGUUUGUGUAACCUGGAGAUGGGGAAAUCUGAUCAUAGACCCAUCUUG